AGUGAACGCUGGCGGUAGGCCUAACACAUGCAAGUCGAACGGCAGCACAGUAAGAGCUUGCUCUUACGGGUGGCGAGUGGCGGACGGGUGAGGAAUACAUCGGAAUCUACUUUUUCGUGGGGGAUAACGUAGGGAAACUUACGCUAAUACCGCAUACGACCUACGGGUGAAAGCAGGGGAUCUUCGGACCUUGCGCGAUUGAAUGAGCCGAUGUCGGAUUAGCUAGUUGGCGGGGUAAAGGCCCACCAAGGCGACGAUCCGUAGCUGGUCUGAGAGGAUGAUCAGCCACACUGGAACUGAGACACGGUCCAGACUCCUACGGGAGGCAGCAGUGGGGAAUAUUGGACAAUGGGCGCAGGCCUGAUCCAGCCAUACCGCGUGGGUGAAGAAGGCCUUCGGGUUGUAAAGCCCUUUUGUUGGGAAAGAAAAGCAGCAGGUUAAUACCCCGCUGUUCUGACGGUACCCAAAGAAUAAGCACCGGCGAACUGCGU
rnacentral:rRNA from 1 species